rnacentral:rRNA from 1 species
UACAGAGGGUGCGAGCGUUAAUCGGAAUUACUGGGCGUAAAGCGCACGUAGGUGGCUUUGCAAGUCGAUUGUGAAAUCCCCGGGCUUAACCUGGGAACUGCAGUCGAGACUGCUUUGCUUGAGUAUGGGAGAGGGAGGUGGAAUUUCCGGUGUAGCGGUGAGAUGCGUAGAUAUCGGGAGGAAUACCAGUGGCGAAGGCGGCCUUCUGGACGGAUACUGACGCUGAGGCGCGAAAGCCAGGGGAGCAAACGGG